rnacentral:rRNA from 1 species
GAUGGACGCUGGCGGCGUGCCUAACACAUGCAAGUCGAGCGAAGCACUUGCAAAUGAUCCUUCGGGUGAUUUUGCUGGUGACUGAGCGGCGGACGGGUGAGUAACGCGUGGGUAACCUGCCUCAUACAGGGGGAUAACAGUUAGAAAUGACUGCUAAUACCGCAUAAGCGCACAGUACCACAUGGUACGGUGUGAAAAACUCCGGUGGUAUGAGAUGGACCCGCGUCUGAUUAGCUGGUUGGUGGGGUAACGGCCCACCAAGGCGACGAUCAGUAGCCGACCUGAGAGGGUGACCGGCCACAUUGGGACUGAGACACGGGCCCAAAUCCUACGGGAGCAGCAGUGGGGAAUAUUGCACAAUGGGGG